AAAAUAGAGAAUUGAGUGACUUACUCAAGAAAGUCUUUGUUUGCUUUCUUAGGUUUAGUGAGAAGCAAGGAGACCGUAGAGGAAAGAGAAUGGCAAAUGAACAAUCCAUUAAUCUGUGAAAGGAUUUUUUAUCGUGAUAAAAGGUACAAUGUUGGUGUGAGAUAUACAAACGGUUUUGUGUUUGGUGAGUUUAGAUCUUGGAAAA
rnacentral:lncRNA from 1 species